UAGUCCACGCCCUAAACGAUGCUAACUCGAUAUUUGGAUCUUGAAUCUGAGUGUCUAAGCGAAAGCGAUAAGUUAGCCACCUGGGGAGUACGUUCGCAAGAAUGAAACUCAAAGGAAUUGACAGGGGCCCGCACAAGCGGCGGAGCAUGUGGUUUAAUUCGAUGCAACGCGAAGAACCUUACCAGCCCUUAACAUCCUGGGAAUCUCUAAGAGAUUAGAGAGUGCCUUCGGGAAUCCAGAGACAGGUGCUGCAUGGCUGUCGUCAGCUCGUGUCGUGAGAUGUUGGGUUAAGUCCCGCAACGAGCGCAACCCUUGUCCUUAGUUGCCAACACGUAAUGGUGGGAACUCUAAGGAGACUGCCGGUGAUAAACCGGAGGAAGGUGGGGAUGACGUCAAGUCAUCAUGGCCCUUAUGGGCUGGGCUACGACACGUGCUACAAUGGUCGGUACAGAGGGCCGCAAACCCGCGAGGGGGAGCCGAAUCCCAGAAAGCCGAUCUUAGUCCGGAUCG
rnacentral:rRNA from 1 species